rnacentral:rRNA from 1 species
UGGGGAAUUUUGGACAAUGGGCGCAAGCCUGAUCCAGCCAUGCCGCGUGCGGGAAGAAGGCCUUCGGGUUGUAAACCGCUUUUGUCAGGGAAGAAAUCUUCUGAGUUAAUACCUCGGGAGGAUGACGGUACCUGAAGAAUAAGCACCGGCUAACUACGUGCCAGCAGCCGCGGUAAUACGUAGGGUGCAAGCGUUAAUCGGAAUUACUGGGCGUAAAGCGUGCGCAGGCGGUUUUGUAAGACAGAGGUGAAAUCCCCGGGCUCAACCUGGGAACUGCCUUUGUGACUGCAAGGCUUGAGUGCGGCAGAGGGGGAUGGAAUUCCGCGUGUAGCAGUGAAAUGCGUAGAUAUGCGGAGGAAACACCGAUGGCGAAGGCAAUCCCCUGGGCCUGCACUGACGCUCAUGCACGAAAGCGUGGGGAGCAAAACAGGAUUAGAUAGCCCUGGUAGUCCACGCCCUAAAACGAUGUCAACUGGUUGUUGGGAAGGUUCCUUCUCAGUAACGUAGCUAACGCGUGAAGUUGACCGCCUGGGGAGUACGGCCGCAAGGUUGAAAACU